rnacentral:rRNA from 1 species
UGUUAGAGGGGACGGGUGAGUACACGUGGGUAACCUGCCUGUAAGACUGGGAUAACUCCGGGAAACCGGGGCUAAUACCGGAUGGUUGUUUGAACCGCAUGGUUCAGACAUAAAAGGUGGCUUCGGCUACCACUUACAGAUGGACCCGCGGCGCAUUAGCUAGUUGGUGAGGUAACGGCUCACCAAGGCGACGAUGCGUAGCCGACCUGAGAGGGUGAUCGGCCACACUGGGACUGAGACACGGCCCAGACUCCUACGGGAGGCAGCAGUAGGGAAUCUUCCGCAAUGGACGAAAGUCUGACGGAGCAACGCCGCGUGAGUGAUGAAGGUUUUCGGAUCGUAAAGCUCUGUUGUUAGGGAAGAACAAGUGCCGUUCAAAUAGGGCGGCACCUUGACGGUACCUAACCAGAAAAGCCACGGCUAACUACGUGCCAGCAGCCGCGGUAAUACGUAGGUGGCAAGCGUUGUCCGGAAUUAUUGGGCGUAAAGGGCUCGCAGGCGGUUUCUUAAGUCUGAUGUGAAAGCCCCCGGCUCAACCGGGGAGGGUCAUUGGAAACUGGGGAACUUGAGUGCAGAAGAGGAGAGUGGAAUUCCACGUGUAGCGGUGAAAUGCGUAGAGAUGUGGAGGAACACCAGUGGCGAAGGCGACUCUCUGGUCUGUAACUGACGCUGAGGAGCGAAAGCGUGGGGAGCGAACAGGAUUAGAUACCCUGGUAGUCCACGCCGUAAACGAUGAGUGCUAAGUGUUAGGGGGUUUCCGCCCCUUAGUGCUGCAGCUAACGCAUUAAGCACUCCGCCUGGGGAGUACGGUCGCAAGACUGAAACUCAAAGGAAUGACGGGG